GUAGGGAAUAUUGGACAAUGGGCGAAAGCCUGAUCCAGCAAUGCCGCGUGAGUGAUGAAGGCCUUAGGGUUGUAAAGCUCUUUUACCAGGGAUGAUAAUGACAGUACCUGGAGAAUAAGCUCCGGCUAACUCCGUGCCAGCAGCCGCGGUAAUACGGAGGGAGCUAGCGUUGUUCGGAAUUACUGGGCGUAAAGCGCGCGUAGGCGGCGAUUUAAGUCAGAGGUGAAAGCCCGGGGCUCAACCCCGGAAUAGCCUUUGAGACUGGAUUGCUAGAAUCCUGGAGAGGUGAGUGGAAUUCCGAGUGUAGAGGUGAAAUUCGUAGAUAUUCGGAAGAACACCAGUGGCGAAGGCGGCUCACUGGACAGGUAUUGACGCUGAGGUGCGAAAGCGUGGGGAGCGAACGGGAUUAGAAACCCGGGUAGUCC
rnacentral:rRNA from 1 species